GAAAGAUCACUGAAGGACAAGGACCCCGAGGUUUCAGGAUUUAGAAUAGGGCCUGCUCCAUACAAGCAACUCAAUGACUUCUGGGGGAAUAUCUGGAAGAUAAGAAAGGGCUCUGGCAGCUGAAGACCUCCAGAACCAGCCACCACCAUGCUGAGACCACUCUCCACAAGCAUGAAGACAGAAACCCAAAGAGAUGGACAGACGAUGUGCAUAGCAAGCAGAAAGGCCCAAGAGUUGAUGCUGACCUUUCAUGAAACCUUUCACUAAUAGCGGUUAGUAUAUCAUCUGCAUAACAUAAAGACACAUAAAACCCAGUACAUCAAUAAGAUCAUGCGCAGAGGUUUACAAGACUUCUUCAUUUAGAAUACUGAAAAGUACCUUUAAGGCAAAUAUUGGAUCUUUAUUACCACUUCAAAAUUCAAGUCCAAUCUUUGAUCAUAAUUUUUGCACACCACUCACAUAGUAUUAUGGAAAAUGGUAAAGUAUUCAUUGGAAUCUAGUGCCCCAUCUGAAGAGAUUUCAGGGUGGAAUGAAUUGACUGUGUUUUCUUCCAUUCAAUCCUGGCAACUCAGAAUGUCUUAUGAUUUUUUUCUUCUUUAUAUGUUUUGGUUUCGGGUUUAUGCGUGAUUUUCCUGGUUUUGUGGUUAGGGGUUUCCCAGUGGUGGGCUUAAGGGACGGACGUGGUGCCAGGAAUUUAAAUUAGUCAGAAUGGUGUGAGGCAAGCAUCUUAACCUCUGCGCUAUAUCCCUGGACCCUAGUAUUCUUUUUUCCCCCUAAAAAACCAAUUACACAGAUAUCAGUGAAUUUCUGAAUAAGACAAUAAAUUAUUUUCUGUAAAAUUGAAAUGAUAAUCACUUACUAUCUCUCACAAGUAUGUGGUUUAGGAAUUUACAUCUGUCUUCUCUGAGUGGUGGCUUGGGGUCUCUCUAGAAGCUGUAGUUAGUUAGCUAGAAUUAGAGCAGAAGUUACUGGAAGGUCAGUUUGGGGAGGAAAAAUCACUUCCAGGUCACUGAUUUACAUGCCAGAGUCCACUCUCCCCAACUGAUUUUUAUGUGGGCCUCUCUUCAAGAGCUGCUCAAGUAUCCUUGUGACAUGGCUACUGGCUCACCAAGAUGGAAAUUGUAGAAACUUUUCUGACACAGUCUCUGAAAUUAUAGUCAUACAUGUGCUAUUCUCUUGGCCGCAUACUGAUCCAGGGCCUGAAUGGCAGGGGAUGAGGAUUGGGGGACCAUCUCAGAGACUGAUAAUCACAAGUCACUCGGGGAAAAGUUCACUGCAUAUUCGAUUUUAAGUGAGAUAAAUGGAACAACACAUUCAAAUGACAUGGGGAAGUAUGGGAAAGGGCUUCUUUGACUGGACACCUAGGAAUAUUUAAACUAUUUUUCUUAUUUUGUAAUUUCCAUGAUACUAUUUAUCACAAUGAGUAAUGAUCUGUCACCAUUUUUUUUUUUUUUGGUCAAGCACUGUACAAUCUACAAUAAAGCUGUGCCCUGAUGUUGAGGUAGAAAAGUGCAUAGUGUGACCUUUGAGCCAAAGUAUCAGCUCUUCAUCUUCUAAAUCCACCCCAAUUGCCCCACCUCCUGCUGCCUCCCCCAAACCUAUCCCAAUCUAUAUAUUCUCAAAGGUUCUAUACUCUGAGAAUAUAACCUUGGGAUAGGUUCCUGCCUGGAACCCAAGACAGGUCUGAGCAGAGGUUGAUCUCGCUUCCUGCAGGCAUUUUUUUCCCCCAGGAGGAUGUGACUGAACAGUGGAGCUCUUUGUUAUCCUUCAAGAAAAGGGAGUCUAGUGGCCUUAUUGAUUCAGUGCUCACUUCCUGGACAGAAGGUCCUACCACCUGGUGGACAGGUCUCUCCAAAACAAACAAAUUUUUCCUCAUACCUCCCAGCCCCAAGACCCGUGGCCAAUCCCAAAUGCAGACGAACAAAGAUGAACCGUAGAUUCAAGCUUCGUGGCAUCAUAUCUUGAGAUUCCUGCAAAGCUUUUUACAAUUGUUAAAAUCCUCCUGCCUGGGAUGAAGUUUCCAUCACAGAGUGGAAGGGAAAAAACAAUAAAGCAUACACAUUCCAAGCUAAGAAGACAUCACUGAAAGAAAUCAAAGAAAAUAGAAUUGGCAAUAAUGCAGCCAUUGACAUGAUGAGCCUCAUUUCAGAAACAUAAACAUAAACUGAAAGUUUCAUUCUUAAUUUUUAUAGAACAAGGUCCUUUUCAGCAUUCCAAAAAUGAAUAAAUACAAUGUUUGCUUCUUGAUGUUAAUGCUAAAAUAAAUGAUCAUUUAAC